rnacentral:rRNA from 1 species
CCCUUAGAUGUUCUGGGCUGCACGCGCGCGACAAUGACGUUUGCAACGAGAUUGCGAGGCCGUCAGGUCGAGCUGAUCUUGCAAGCUGCGUCGUGAUAGGGACAGUCGAUUGCAAUUAUUCGACUCGAACGAGGAAUUCCUUGUAAUCGCGCAUCAUCAGUGCGCGCUGAAUACGUCCCUGCCCUUUGUACACACCGCCCGUCGCUCCUACCGAUUGAACGGUUUAGUGAGGGCCUCGGAUUGGUCUCGGCCCGCUCUUUACCGGGCGGCGCCGUUGGUCGAGAAGACGCUCGAACUUGAUCGUUUAGAGGAAGUAAAAGUCGUAACA